UACGUAGGGGGCAAGCGUUGUCCGGAAUUAUUGGGCGUAAAGCGCGCGCAGGCGGCUUCUUAAGUCCGAUGUGAAAUCUUGCGGCUUAACCGCAAGCGGUCAUUGGAAACUGGGAGGCUUGAGUACAGAAGAGGAGAGUGGAAUUCCACGUGUAGCGGUGAAAUGCGUAGAUAUGUGGAGGAACACCAGUGGCGAAGGCGACUCUCUGGUCUGUAACUGACGCUGAGGCGCGAAAGCGUGGGGAGCGAACAGG
rnacentral:misc_RNA from 1 species